rnacentral:lncRNA from 1 species
AAAAGCGUAGUGGCUGUGAGUAGUGAUCCUUAAUGUGCUGCGUGGGGCAGCAGUGCUACAGGGCUAAAGCCUCUCCUCCGCUAUUGCUCUACGAAGACAUGUGAGAAAGACAUGGCUUUUGCUUCACUGGACUGGAGCUGGAAUGAACAGGGAGGCAGUUGUACUGCUUGUAACAAGAGGAAACCUCUUGUUAUUCUGCUUUGUUUUCACAAAGAUUGGAAUACAUCAGAGCUGGGAAAUACAGGAGAAAGUGCCAGAUAACGUGUGCAGUUGAGUUUUUUCACCAGAUCCUCAAAGCAGUGGAUGCAUGCAUCAGUUGGUUGGUACAGAAAAGAGCAAGAGCUGUUCCUCCUGCAUGGUAGGAAGAGAUGACAGAUUGGAGAACCUGAAGGAAAAAGUUAAAUUACAAGAAGGUGUUUCAGCUGCGUUAGAAGGUUCCUUUAGAACAUGUUAUGACAAAAACUGCAACAGUAAUCCCCAAAUCCUUUACCUUUUAGUCAAGCAGCUCUUUCUCAGUUUCCUGUUGUAAUUUCCUAAUACCAGAUAAAGAAAAUUUCUUGGCUAGAACAUGUUUGUUGAGGGUGAGCUAUGGAUAUAGUGCAGAACAGCUAUGCUCGCAUUAAAACAGCCAUCUCAAUAUGUCUUCAGUCCUUUUCCUAGAGCUCGGUAAAAUAAUGAUUCAAGGUGAAGUGCAGUGCUGCUGUGUAUGUCAAAUAUGUGCAGCCAAUACCAUAAUGAGCAAGCAGAAAAAUUCCACAACAUUUGCCCAAGAUAUCUGUUUCAAAUAGUUUGGAGGUCCUCAGUACCUUAAGUGACGGGUUAGGUAAGUUAUGGUAACAAGAGCCAAGAAGUCAUGAUGAUUAUGUAGAUCAUCUUCAGUUACUCCAGUAGAGUUAUUUUGUGGGAAGCAAAGACUGACCUCACCUAAGUUUUACGGUACAUGUGUUUCAUUCCUUGCCAUGCAAAGCUACUUCUAGAAAGAAAGAAGACUAAAGGGAAAAAAACAAACACAUUUACAGUAUCUUAGGCAUAUCAAAGGCAGCUUUUGUUUUGUUGUGUAUUGUUUAAUGUUUCAGAAAAUGGUUAAUCUAAAUGAGGAUUGCAAGUCUUAAACCACAGCUGUUCUUUGCAGAGCUGUUGCCUUUUCUAUUACCAAUUUGCAAUUUCCCUGGGGUUAUUUUCAGGGUGCUUUUUGUACCAUUGUAGUAGUAGUAUAUUUAUUUCUAGUAGCCUUCCAGUUGAAGGAACUUCAGACUUUUUGCAAAUUACAGUGAUAGUUGUAGCUUCACCAGUGGUGGUAGGAUGCUUCCUUGCCCCUCUCCUGGUCUUUUUCAUGUUAAAUUAGUUGUUACAAAGACUGGGAGAAAAAAAACCCCACCACACCUCAGGUGGUCCAUCCAUGGAGGUGAAUAUACAUGCAUUCCAUCUGCUCUUCUUACUAGAGAAAACAGAUAUUUAGCCUGAGAUCUGGGCUCCUUCAACUGUGUGCAUCUUCCCUCCAUCCUCCAUAGCUGUGUAAGCAGGCAGAGUACUUUGAGGUCUUUGGGGAUCCUGUUUGGUCCACAUGCUCCCUACCGGCAUUGAAAAGCAGUGGGGUAGAGCGUGACCCCAGUUCAGCCUGGGGCUGCUUCUACCCCUGAGAUGUAAAUAAGAGCCCAGCCAAAAGCAUUAUGCAGCCGCUGGUCAGUCUCAGCUGCCCCUGGAGAUUUACUGCUACCAACUUUUAGCCCAAAUGGAUAAACAAAGCUCAGAUAGGGGUGAAAGGGCCUGCAGCUCUCCCAGUUGAUACAACAUCUGCCAAGAAAUCUCUGAGGCUGUGGUUCUCAGGCAUGCAAAGGACUAUGCUGCCCAUUUCUAUUUUCUUUGCUCUCUAACUCCUCCCUUCCACCCCAAACAGAAAUAGCAAUUGGAGAUUUUUCAUAAAGGCCUCAACUGAGACUGCUCCUGUUCCCAUUUGGGCUGGUGGAAAGUUCCAUGUGUUGCUGUGCAGAUAUUGCCACGUUUUCAUUGACUUGAGUCCAGCAGAGCUAAAAGGAAACAUCUGUGGAGCAGGAUAGCUCUGUGUUUGUCCCAGAAAUUAAGUGCUUCUGCUGGGAGUGUCGAGAGGCUGAAAGUUGUGUGCUAGAGACAGGGAGUCUGGGGAGUCCUGCUGGGCUUCUGCUUGUGUUACCCAAAAAGCACUGAGCUGCAGUUUACCUUGUUGUUAGCCUGUUUUUGUGUUUUCCCCCACCUCCCCUGUGCAUCCCAGCGUAAAGGCCUGUUUGACAGGGGCAGGCCUCCGAGGGCUAGGCUGUAGGUCAGCAAAUGUGGCUGGUUUGCUGCUUGUGUUCAUUCUGUAGGGGCUAUGCUAUGUGUCACCCUGAAACUAAACUGACUUACCAAGUCUAGGAAACGUGAUCGGCUAACAUUUUGCAACUACAGGAGCAGUUCAAUAUUGGAAUUGUUUAGUUUGGGAUGGAGAAGAGAGCUUGUUGCCCCCUUACAGGGGAACUAAGGCAAUGGAGAGGAAAGGGCCCAUCUCACCCUCAGCCAGGCUUCAUGAAAACUUGCUUCACCACAGCCUGACCCUGCUCACACACCCCUUGGUUCCUGCUCAGUUCCUUCCCAUUUGCAUUCCCUGCAGAUGUGAGCCAGCUGCUGCCACAGAGACACAACGUGGGUGCUCCUGUUCACUGUGCAGGGGCAGGUGCCGCCAGGUCUUGCUCCUCAUGGUGCUGCCAGGUGCCUGGUGCUGGUUUUGGGUUAGAGCCUUGAAUGCCCAGUCCCUCUGUCUUCUGUCACCCAUGAACCCCUGAUCAGUCUCAUCCACAGGCCUGACUUGACGCCCUGCACACUCAACGAUUAGUGAAAAGAAUGGAGAUUUUCUGCUACUAGCUUUCUAAACCAAAGUCUUUUCAUUACAAACAAGAGAAGAACAGGUAAAAUCCAAGUCCAUUGUGCAGCCAUAACCCCACAGAAACACCUCUUUCACUACUCAGGCCCAUGGCCAUGAUGUACAGAAAUGGCCAUUACCAGCAACAGACUGCAGAGAGUACGGGAACUGGAGCCAGUGUCAUAGAAUCACAGAAUGGCUUGGGUUGGAAGAGACCUCAAAGACCACCCAGCUCCAAGCCCCUGCUGUGGGCAGGGUUGCCAACCACUAGGUCAGCCUGCCCAUCCAACCGGGCCUUGAGCGCCUCCAGGGAUGGAGCACUACAGCUUCUCUGGGCAGCCCAUCUUUCCUAUGCAACAGUAGAUGUUGGUAUUCCUUCCCAGGGCAGUGCUUUUGGAUGUUGGAGCCCGAGUUUAAGUGCAUCAGCCCACACAUUCUUUAGAUGAACUCCAAAGCAGAGAUAAAUUUUAAACAAAAAUAUGCAUACCAGGCAAGCUGCCCUAUGCCUGCCAAUAAGAUGUAGCUCAUGUUUUGGCAAUUUAUUGCGUCUCUAAUGUGAUCUUCAGACUUCCUAAUAUGCUGCAAAGAUUCCCAGAGGGUGGGAUCAACACUGCCAUAGUAUGACUCUUGAGAGCAGUACAAAUCAGGAAGUACCACUUGAAAGGCUUAAUGGGGGAAACUAUCUCUUGAAAUUAACAGGCUAAGAAUCUAGAGCUUGAUUCUUUCCUUUAAUGAAGACCAUUGAGUUGAUGUUGGAACCAUUGCUUCUGCUUCCUUUUGAGAGACAAAAUAAGAUCAGUCUGAGAUGUCACCAUUAAAGAAAUGAAUGAAUGAAUGACUAAAAGGUCGUGACAACUGAAAAAGUUAAUUAUUCAAACAUUUUAUUUCCAGAACCAUUAAAUAAAUAGAUAGAUAAAAGGACCUGAGAAUGGAGAAGGUGUAUUACUCAGACUUCUUUCCAGAUUUGUCUAUGAGCUCUCAAUUUAGGAACCUGUAACUGGUGCUGCUGUCCCCUCUGCCUGCAGUGGGUCCCACCCUGGAGUGCCGUCCCAUCCCCUGCAUGUGCCCUGUGAGAGCUGCAGGUGCCAUUGGGGCAGGACGGGGCUGCCCAUCAGGUGGCACCAGCAUGGCUGCUGCCAGCAUGGCUGCUGCAAGGGAUGAGGUGAGGAGGGCCCGAGGAGCUGCCGUUCUGCUGCUGUGGGUGCUGGGGAAGCUCCCGCUGUGCUGGGCUGGUUGUAAAUGUGGGACUCGUGUGGGCCUGGCUGGUUGGAGCAGCCAGAGCAGAUGUCACUGACCAGAGCACUUAUUGCUGGUCCUGCACACAGAGCCAUGGGUGUUUGAACUUGAGUCCAGAAACGAAGAAAACUGUAUUUAAAGAGUUGAAGGACUGUUUGGACAGCGCUCUCAGACACAAGGUUUGGAUUUGGGGUGGUCCAGUGUGAAGCCGAGAGCUGGGCUCUGUAAUCCUUGCGGGUGCCUUCCAUCUCAGGAUAUUCUGUGAUUCUGUGACCUGACCUCAGUCACAGUGGCCUGGUUUCCCAGCCAUCAGCAUUUCCCACGAGUUCCAUGGACUUGCAAAUAGGAAAAGGCCAAACAGAAAGCUGGGCACUUUGACACCCUUCUCUCUAUAGAGAGAGCUCUUCCUUUAAUUAGCUGCAUUCCUAGCUAUCCCGUAACAUAUCUUUGCCAUUCCUGCAAAACAACACUUGACUGUUUGAUGUGCUGCUGUUAAUGACUCCCCAGCGAUAGCUCCAACCUCAGUUUUGCCCAUCGGAACACUUUAAUAAGGCUAAGGUUUUCUCACAAGCUCUAUAAACACCUCUGUUGUCAUCCUGCUGAUUAAGAUCAGCAAUACGGGCACCCUGGAGUUCUUGUAUCAUGUCACUGGUAGCUCAGAUGUGAUGGUUUAGACUUGAACAAUUAUAGCUGCUGAGGCCCCUUUGCUAAUACUGUGGGAGAGAGGAAGAAGGAAAUGCAAUCUCAGCCACAUCCUGGCGCAGCCAGUAGGUCUCCCAGCUGUCACUGCAGGAGCACAGCUGUGCCAGCUCCGUGCAGAUGUUGGAGGCACUGAGGGCCACCAACCUGUCCUCUCCUGUCACCAGAGCAUUCUCACAGCACGUGCUCUCACUGCAUUUUGGCAAAUGGUAAGUUUGGGUAUUGCCAGGGUUGGGAACCCGUGUGCUGAAAAGUCCUGAAUGAGGUCCUACUCCUCUUCCUUCCUCCAACUUUGAGCUGAUAGGGCUUUUGAAGAACACACAUUGCUUUCUUCCCACUGUCCGGUCGUGCAGCUCUUUCUCUGAAUUCAUGAAAUUCAUAGAAAUUCUCUUACAGCCCCCUAAUUCAGCAUCUGCAGCUACAUGGAGGCAAACCAGUUGCUCAGUGAUGGGGAAAACAUGCAACCACACUGCAAGCUGGCAGAACAGCUGUCUGCUUCCCAGUCCCAAAAUACUGACUUCAACUUCGGCAGUGUCUUCACUUCUGCUGAUGGUGAGACGGACGAUUUCUCAGUCUGCUCUGCAAACCUACACAAUCAGGAAUUUCUCCAGAGAUUUAGCGUUCGAUUUAGACACGUGGCUACGGUUUUCUUUUGGCUGGUCAGACUUCAGGCUAUGAAUGAUUGGCAAAGAAAAGCAGUGAAGACGGAUGGGUGUCCCCCUAGCCCAGCGGAGUCUACGUGCUCUGAGCAGAAGAGGGGGUGAGUCCUUUGGUGCAGCUCCUUUUGGAAAUGGGAAGAUGCUGAGCAGCUCCUGGCACUUGAACUCAAGUGGUUUGGCUUUAAUUGGGCUCAGUUUAAGGCCUGAGAAUCUCUUUUAGCACAGAUCUUUCUGAACUGUUGGCCUGUAGAGUGCACAGGGUAUGGAAAAGCUCCCUCCUUAGGCUCAAAGCCAGUUUCCAAGUGCUGGUACUGGAGAGAACAUUUUGGCAAAGCGCUGGCUCCUUCAUUUUCCCCAUCAUUGUCCUUAUGAAAACCACCCUUUCCUGAAGUAUUAUCGUGUUCCUUCUCCUGAAACAAUGAUCCAUAGAUUCAGCUCAUUCCAUUUUAACCUGUUCUGAUGUUGUUUAUGCUGGCGGAAAUCAGGACCAAUGCCAACACAAGUUCACAAGGUGGCUAACACCAGAGAUUUUCCUCUGCUCUCCCACAUCCUCAGAAUACAUUUCUACUGUCCACCACUGUUUCUCUUCUGUUCCUUCCUGAAGUUGUUGCAUGGCCCAUGUGUGAAGAUGCUUUCAAAUCUCCACCACGCAGGACACUUCCCAGAGGAGAGGGGCUGCAGCCUUUCUGUGCUCCUGCUGCCCUGUGAGGAGUGAGCGUGGCUUGGCAUUGCUGCAGCCUGCCUUUGGGCUGGUAGCUUAGCCUUGAGUAGCCAAGGCCGGUGAUUGCCUAUCUCGAUAAUAACCGUGUGAAAGCUGUUAUCUAGUCCACCCUUCUACUUUCCAGCCAUUGUGUGGCGGCACUCGUGCAUUACUUGGCUUGGCAAUCCCCACUCGUUUCCUUGGAGCUGGAUCAAAAUCGCCUCUGAUCUCGCUGCCCAUUUCCUUGCCCAGCUGGGCACGAAAUCACAGGUCUGCAUCAUUGCCAGGAGCAUCCAGCUUCCUUCCAUGGGCUCCUUCCAGCCACUGUUUUGCUGGCUGAACCCUCUCCAAAUCCAGCAUCUCAGUCUACUUAUUGGGUUUCCCAGAGCCACGUAAACCUCUGCAGUCCUUGGGCAGUCUUCCUAAGCACACUCUCUCUUGCUCUCUCUUUUUACCUCAAACUGGUCUCCUUACAGCUAACAGGAAUUGCUGUCUGUCUGACCACAGACCCAUCUUGAAGCAAG